rnacentral:tRNA from 1 species
UCUAAGGAGUUCCUCAGGGAACUUUUCCUAAACCUUGUUUGGUUAUAUAUUUUUUUAGAACCAGCUGCAUAAUUGGCUGGUUCUAAAAGUGUAAAGCUGGGCCUAUAGCUCAGUUGGCUAGAGCGCACGCCUGAUAAGCGUGAGGUCAGUGGUUCGAAUCCACUUAGGCCCACCAGCUUUCAGGAAAUAGUGGUUAAAUUAACUCUAGCGGGGAUGUAGCUCAGGGGGAGAGCACCUGCCUUGCAAGCAGGGGGUCGGCGGUUCGAAUCCGCUCAUCUCCACCAGAUAAAAGAAUGUUGUUCUUUGAAAACUGUAUAGCGGAUAAUUUUACCG